CAGUAGCCGCGGUAAUGCGUAGGUCCCGAGCGUUGUCCGGAUUUAUUGGGCGUAAAGCGAGCGCAGGCGGUUAGAAAAGUCUGAAGUGAAAGGCAGUGGCUCAACCAUUGUAGGCUUUGGAAACUGUUUAACUUGAGUGCAGAAGGGGAGAGUGGAAUUCCAUGUGUAGCGGUGAAAUGCGUAGAUAUAUGGAGGAACACCGGUGGCGAAAGCGGCUCUCUGGUCUGUAACUGACGCUGAGGCUCGAAAGCGUGGGGAGCGAACAGGAUUAGAUACCCCAGUAGUCCCUGUCUCUUAUACC
rnacentral:rRNA from 1 species